UUAAGCGACUAAGCGUACACGGUGGAUGCCCUGGCAGUCAGAGGCGAUGAAGGACGUGCUAAUCUGCGAAAAGCGCCGGCGAGGUGAUAUGAACCCUUGACCCGGCGAUGUCCGAAUGGGGAAACCCAGUGCAAUCCGUUGCACUAUCGUUAACUGAAUACAUAGGUUAACGAGGCGAACCGGGGGAACUGAAACAUCUAAGUACCCCGAGGAAAAGAAAUCAACCGAGAUUCCCCCAGUAGCGGCGAGCGAACGGGGAGCAGCCCGGAGUCUGAAUCAGCUUGUGUGUUAGUGGAACGGUCUGGAAAGUCCGACGGUACAGGGUGAUAGUCCCGUACACGAAAGCACACAUGCUGUGAACUCGAAGAGUAGGGCGGGACACGUGGUAUCCUGUCUGAAUAUGGGGGGACCAUCCUCCAAGGCUAAAUACUCCUGACUGACCGAUAGUGAACCAGUACCGUGAGGGAAAGGCGAAAAGAACCCCGGCGAGGGGAGUGAAAAAGAACCUGAAACCGUGUACGUACAAGCAGUGGGAGCCUCUUUAUGGGGUGACUGCGUACCUUUUGUAUAAUGGGUCAGCGACUUAUAUUCUGUAGCAAGGUUAACCGUAUAGGGGAGCCGAAGGGAAACCGAGUCUUAACUGGGCGUUAAGUUGCAGGGUAUAGACCCGAAACCCGGUGAUCUAGCCAUGGGCAGGUUGAAGGUUGGGUAACACUAACUGGAGGACCGAACCGACUAAUGUUGAAAAAUUAGCGGAUGACCUGUGGCUGGGGGUGAAAGGCCAAUCAAACCGGGAGAUAGCUGGUUCUCCCCGAAAGCUAUUUAGGUAGCGCCUCGUGAACUCAUCUUCGGGGGUAGAGCACUGUUUCGGCUAGGGGGCCAUCCCGGCUUACCAACCCGAUGCAAACUACGAAUACCGAAGAAUGUUAUCACGGGAGACACACGGCGGGUGCUAACGUCCGUCGUGAAGAGGGAAACAACCCAGACCGCCAGCUAAGGUCCCAAAGUCAUGGUUAAGUGGGAAACGAUGUGGGAAGGCACAGACAGCCAGGAUGUUGGCUUAGAAGCAGCCAUCAUUUAAAGAAAGCGUAAUAGCUCACUGGUCGAGUCGGCCUGCGCGGAAGAUGUAACGGGGCUAAACCAUGCACCGAAGCUGCGGCAGCGACGCUUAUGCGUUGUUGGGUAGGGGAGCGUUCUGUAAGCCGUUGAAGGUGUGCUGUGAGGCAUGCUGGAGGUAUCAGAAGUGCGAAUGCUGACAUAAGUAACGAUAAAGCGGGUGAAAAGCCCGCUCGCCGGAAGACCAAGGGUUCCUGUCCAACGUUAAUCGGGGCAGGGUGAGUCGACCCCUAAGGCGAGGCCGAAAGGCGUAGUCGAUGGGAAACAGGUUAAUAUUCCUGUACUUGGUGUUACUGCGAAGGGGGGACGGAGAAGGCUAUGUCAGCCGGGCGACGGUUGUCCCGGUUUAAGCAUGUAGGCGGAGGUUCCAGGUAAAUCCGGUACCUUAUUAACGCUGAGGUGUGAUGACGAGGCACUACGGUGCUGAAGUGAUAAAUGCCCUGCUUCCAGGAAAAGCCUCUAAGCAUCAGGUAACACGAAAUCGUACCCCAAACCGACACAGGUGGUCAGGUAGAGAAUACCAAGGCGCUUGAGAGAACUCGGGUGAAGGAACUAGGCAAAAUGGUGCCGUAACUUCGGGAGAAGGCACGCUGAUGUGUAGGUGAAGUCCCUGCGGACGGAGCUGAAAUCAGUCGAAGAUACCAGCUGGCUGCAACUGUUUAUUAAAAACACAGCACUGUGCAAACACGAAAGUGGACGUAUACGGUGUGACGCCUGCCCGGUGCCGGAAGGUUAAUUGAUGGGGUUAGCGGCAACGCGAAGCUCUUGAUCGAAGCCCCGGUAAACGGCGGCCGUAACUAUAACGGUCCUAAGGUAGCGAAAUUCCUUGUCGGGUAAGUUCCGACCUGCACGAAUGGCGUAAUGAUGGCCAGGCUGUCUCCACCCGAGACUCAGUGAAAUUGAACUCGCUGUGAAGAUGCAGUGUACCCGCGGCAAGACGGAAAGACCCCGUGAACCUUUACUAUAGCUUGACACUGAACACUGGUCCUUGAUGUGUAGGAUAGGUGGGAGGCUUUGAAGCGUGGACGCCAGUCUGCGUGGAGCCAACCUUGAAAUACCACCCUUUAAUGGCUGGUGUUCUAACGUGGACCCGUAAUCCGGGUUGCGGACAGUGUCUGGUGGGUAGUUUGACUGGGGCGGUCUCCUCCCAAAGAGUAACGGAGGAGCACGAAGGUUGGCUAAUCCUGGUCGGACAUCAGGAGGUUAGUGCAAUGGCAUAAGCCAGCUUGACUGCGAGCGUGACGGCGCGAGCAGGUGCGAAAGCAGGUCAUAGUGAUCCGGUGGUUCUGAAUGGAAGGGCCAUCGCUCAACGGAUAAAAGGUACUCCGGGGAUAACAGGCUGAUACCGCCCAAGAGUUCAUAUCGACGGCGGUGUUUGGCACCUCGAUGUCGGCUCAUCACAUCCUGGGGCUGAAGUAGGUCCCAAGGGUAUGGCUGUUCGCCAUUUAAAGUGGUACGCGAGCUGGGUUUAGAACGUCGUGAGACAGUUCGGUCCCUAUCUGCCGUGGGCGCUGGAGAAUUGAGGGGGGCUGCUCCUAGUACGAGAGGACCGGAGUGGACGCAUCACUGGUGUUCGGGUUGUCAUGCCAAUGGCACUGCCCGGUAGCUAAAUGCGGAAGAGAUAAGUGCUGAAAGCAUCUAAGCACGAAACUUGCCCCGAGAUGAGUUCUCCCUGAGACUUUAAGUCUCCUGAAGGAACGUUGAAGACGACGACGUUGAUAGGUCGGGUGUGUAAGCGCAGCGAUGCGUUGAGCUAACCGAUACUAAUGAACCGUGAGGCUUAACCUU
rnacentral:rRNA from 2 species